AGAGUUUGAUCAUGGCUCAGGAUGAACGCUAGCUACAGGCUUAACACAUGCAAGUCGAGGGGCAGCAUGUUGGUUGCUUGCAACCAAUGAUGGCGACCGGCGCACGGGUGAGUAACGCGUAUCCAACCUACCCUUGUCCAUCGGAUAACCCGUCGAAAGGCGGCCUAACACGAUAUGCGGUUCACAGCAGGCAUCUAAGGUGAACGAAAUGUGAAGGAGAAGGAUGGGGAUGCGUCUGAUUAGCUUGUUGGCGGGGUAACGGCCACAAGGCUACAAUCAGUAGGGGUUCUGAGAGGAAGGUCCCCCANAUUGGAACUGAGACACGGUCCAAACUCCUACGGAGGCA
rnacentral:rRNA from 1 species